UUAGAGUUUGAUCCUGGCUCAGGAUGAACUCUAGCGGCAGGCUUAACACAUGCAAGUCGAGGGGCAGCAGGGGGUAGCAAUAUCCUGCUGGCGACCGGCGGACGGGUGCGUAACGCGUAUGCGACCUACCCUUAACAGAGGGAUAACCUAAGGAAACUUGGACUAAUACCUCAUAUAAUUAUGUCCUUGCAUGGGGAUAUAAUGAAAGGAUGGAGACAUUGGUUAGGGAUGGGCAUGCGUGACAUUAGCUAGUUGGUGAGGUAACGGCGUCACCAAGGCGACGAUGUCUAGGGGAGCUGAGAGGCUAGACCCCCACACUGGUACUGAGACACGGACCAGACUCCUACGGGAGGCAGCAGUGAGGAAUAUUGGUCAAUGGACGGAAGUCUGAACCAGCCAUGCCGCGUGAGGGAAGGAGGCCCUAUGGGUUGUAAACCUCUUUUUAUCGGGAGCAAUAAGGGGGGUGCGCCCUCUGAUGAGAGUACUGAUAGAAUAAGCAUCGGCUAACUCCGUGCCAGCAGCCGCGGUAAUACGGAGGAUGCGAGCGUUAUCCGGAUUUAUUGGGUUUAAAGGGUGCGUAGGCGGACUAAUAAGUCAGUGGUGAAAGACACGGGCUCAACCGGUGUAUUGCCAUUGAUACUGAUAGACUAGAGAGUAGUUGGCGCUGGCGGAAUGUGUCAUGUAGCGGUGAAAUGCAUAGAGAUGACACAGAACACCGAUCGCGAAGGCAGCUAGCGAAGCUAUAUCUGACGCUGAGGCACGAAAGCGUGGGGAUCGAACAGGAUUAGAUACCCUGGUAGUCCACGCAGUAAACGAUG
rnacentral:rRNA from 1 species